GUGAGCCGUAUGCGUCGAAAGGCGCACGUACGGUUCUUAGGGGGGGCUAUAGUAGAAAUGCUAUGGCCCUACCCUCC
rnacentral:ncRNA from 1 species